rnacentral:rRNA from 1 species
AUUCAAAUCCUUUAACGAGGAUCUAGCGGAGGGCAAGUCUGGUGCCAGCAGCCGCGGUAAUUCCAGCUCCGCAGGUGUAUAUCUAUGCUGCUGCGGUUAAAAAGCUCGUAGUUGGAUCUGCGUGCUCGGAACUGGUUGGCUCACUGAGUUCAAACUGGUCUCCGGCGCUUUAUUGGCUGGUUUUCCCUUGAUGCUCUUAACCGGGUGUCUUGGGUGGCUAGCACGUUUACUUUGAAAAAAUUAGAGUGCUCAAUACAGGCGUAAAGCCUUGAAUAGUGGUGCAUGGAAUAAUAGAAUAGGACCUCGGCUCUAUUUUGUUGGUUUUCGGAACGCGAGGUAAUGAUUAAGAGGGACAGACGGGGGCAUUCGUAUUGCGACGUUAGAGGUGAAAUUCUUGGAUCGUCGCAAGACGGACGACUGCGAAAGCAUUUGCCAAGAAUGUUUUCAUUAAUCAAGAACGAAAGUUAGAGGUUCGAAGGCGAUCAGAUACCGCCCUAGUUCUAACCGUAAACGAUGCCAACUAGCGAUUCGCAGGCGUUAAACAACGACCUUGCGGGCAGCUUCCCGGAAACGAAAGUGUUCGGGUUCCGGGGGAAGUAUGGUUGCAAAGCUGAAACUUAAAGGAAUUGACGGAAGGGCACCACCAGGAGUGGAGCCUGCGGCUUAAUUUGACCCAACACGGGAAAACUCACCCGGCCCGGACACCGUAAGGAUUGACAGAUUGAGAGCUCUUUCUUGAUUCGGUGGGUGGUGGUGCAUGGCCGUUCUUAGUUGGUGGAGCGAUUUGUCUGGUUUAUUCCGAUAACGAACGAGACUCUGGCCUACUAAAUAGUGGGCGGAUUCUUUCUGUCCGCAACACUUCUUAGAGGGACAAGCGGUGUUCAGCCGCACGAGAUUGAGCAAUAACAGGUCUGUGAUGCCCUUAGAUGUCCGGGGCUGCGCGCGCGCUACACUGAAGGAAUCAGCGUGCUUUCUGACCUUGCCCGAAAGGGCUGGGUAACCCGAUGAAAAUCCUUCGUGAUUGGGAUAGGGACUUGCAAUUAUUUCCCUUGAACGAGGAAUUCCCAGUAAGUGUGGGUCAUAAGCUCGCGUUGAUUACGUCCCUGCCCUUUGUACACACCGCCCGUCGCUGCCCGGAACUGAGCCGUUUCGAGAAGAACAGGGACCGUCGUUGAAGGGCCUUAACGGGCUUUUCUCUGAUAGAAACUGUU